GACGAACGCUGGCGGCGUGCUUAACACAUGCAAGUCGAACGGAAAGGCCCUGCUUUUGUGGGGUGCUCGAGUGGCGAACGGGUGAGUAACACGUGAGUAACCUGCCCUUGACUUUGGGAUAACUUCAGGAAACUGGUGCUAAUACCGGAUAGGAGCUCCUGCUGCAUGGUGGGGGUUGGAAAGUUUCGGCGGUUGGGGAUGGACUGGCGGCUUAUCAGCUUGUUGGUGGGGUAGUGGCUUACCAAGGCUUUGACGGGUAGCCGGCCUGAGAGGGUGAACGGCCACAUUGGGACUGAGAUACGGCCCAGACUCCUACGGGAGGCAGCAGUGGGGAAUAUUGCACAAUGGGCGGAAGCCUGAUGCAGCAACGCCGCGUGCGGGAUGACGGCCUUCGGGUUGUAAACCGCUUUAGCCUGUGACGAAGCGUGAGUGACGGUAAUGGGUAAAGAAGCACCGGCUAACUACGUG
rnacentral:rRNA from 1 species